UACGUAGGUGGCGAGCGUUGUCCGGAAUUACUGGGUGUAAAGGGCGUGUAGGCGGGGAUGUAAGUCAGAUGUGAAAUUCUUGGGCUCAACUCAAGCGCUGCAUCUGAAACUAUAUCUCUUGAGUGCUGGAGAGGAAAGCGGAAUUCCUAGUGUAGCGGUGAAAUGCGUAGAUAUUAGGAGGAACACCAGUGGCGAAGGCGGCUUUCUGGACAGUAACUGACGCUGAGGCGCGAAAGCGUCGGGAGCAAACAGG
rnacentral:rRNA from 1 species